rnacentral:piRNA from 1 species
GAGGACAGGAGGAGGAAGAUGUGG